rnacentral:lncRNA from 1 species
CACAAAUGAGUUCUUUCGAACACCUCACAAGUGUGACAAGUUUGCAUAUCUAUUACCUCAAUUUGCAUCCUUAUGUCUAAGAGAUGUCAUUAAAUGAGAUGAUUCAAGUUAUUGGUUGUAUUUAUUCUUCACCCAUAUCCCCUCAUUCAUUGAUGAUAUGGGUUCAAGGGUGGUUAGGGUUUGCAACCCCCAACUCUUGAUUAAAUCAUGGAAUAUAUGCAACACCCAUCAUAAAUAACUAAUUAGGAGAAUAAGUAGCUAACACCCAUGCACUACCACAACCUAAGCAAGCAUAACCUCAAGAUUUAAAAUUAGCUACUCAUAGACAAAAAAGGUAGAAAUAUACCAAAGUUAUCAUUGACUUCUUCCAUGAGAAAUAAAGAGAAUGUAAUUCCAAACUUGGAAGUUCAAUAAAUCUUCAAUAGAAAAUCACUAAUUCUUCCUUGGGAAUCACUCACAUAUAUUUGUUACUCAAGAUUAGUACAAUGUUCUUCUAAGAUAAAAAGAUGGUUGCUAAGAUGAAAAGAUAGAAGCUAGGAUGGGAAAAAGAAGCUAGGUCUUGAAAAAUGAGCUAAAACCCUCUUUUAAGCUCCAAUUCUACAUUUGUUGAAAAUUAUAAAAAUGCCACCUUGCUCUUGAUCUGCUUGAGCGGUUCCAAAGCGGAUGGAGAGUAGAUUGAUAGCAGCUCCAAAGCAGAUGACUCUUUUCCUUCACAUUUGGCCUCUUGUUGACUUGAAUGACUUUCCCAUCUUCCCAACUUUCAACUACAUAAAUGUGCAUUAAGUAAGAAUUACCAUCAAAUCAGCGGAAAAGCAUGAUAAUUUAGGCUUAAAAGGUGCUAGCAAGUUUAUCAACCCCCAAACUUAAACUAUUGCUAGUCCUCGAGCAACCAAGAUUAAUUCAAUGAGAUAGGUUAUUUAACUCAAAUCCUCUCAGAAGAAAGCUAUACCAAAGGAAUAAGCUUACAAAGCUCUACAAACACUUUCCAAACAUGUCAUGGCAACAAACAAACCAAAGCUUUUCAAUAAACACAUAUUUAUGAAGCAAGGAUGCAAGUUUGUAUCAAAUGAACUUUCCAAAUCACAAAACAUCUUAAGAUAAGACACAAAAUCAUCAAAGAUUGUCUCAAUCUUCACAAUGCAACUUACUUCACUCAUUUACCCAAAACCGAUAAUAAAACGUCACCCUCUACCUAAAAGUACCGAUGCCGCUCACAUGCAAGAGUUAGCUCCACACACAAAAGACAUUUCAAUUCUUAAGGGAGCUCAAAUAAAGAAAGAAUUCACACUCACUCUCACAAAGAAAUUCAAGUACAUCGAAUAGUACCAUAUGCUUGCCCUUUUUUUUUUUCGCCACUAAUGUAGACUUAGUUUGGAAUCACCAAGAUCUUGCGGGUCAAGAUGAAGGUUUAAGGUGCGGGAAGGAAUAUAUAUGGAUCAAGUGACUAAAAGACCUCCUUCAAUGCAAUCGCUCAAUCCUUUCUAUCCCCAAAAUUUUCAAACUACCCACCUUAUUCUUCUUCAGAUCAUUUCCCUAUAUUUUCCUAACUUUUUGUUCAACAUUCACCAAACAAGUCAAAGCCACCAUUUUCUUUCUUCACUUCUUUGACCUUUUCAGGAGAUUUUCUAUCUAUAAGCCCUUCUUAGCCCCUCACUCAUCCAAAUUUCUCUUUUUUUUUUUGUUUCAAGUUCUAUGGGAUAGGUUAUUCAACUUUAUCAUCAAGCACAUCUCUUGUCUUUUAAGCACAUGUAUUGACAUCCUUACAUACACCUUGUCUUUUCUUUGAUCAUCUUCUCCCAAAUACACAACCCUCCAAACUUAGGCUUUUGCCUCUAAUCCAUUAUUUAGAAUAUUGCAACGCAUCAAAGUAGGUUAAGUGCCAAAAGAGAGAUUUUCAAAAGAGUUUAGGUGUUUUAGCAUGGUUAUCAUUACAAUAAGAAAGAAAGACGAGCAAAGAGGGCCAAAUGGGUUAACUAGGAAACAAUGUUAAGGUAGGAAUUUGGCUAUGUGACGGGUCAAAAAGGGCUUCGAGUCAUCCUCCAAACCAAACUUGCCUAGAAUUUCGCUUGGAAUACACCAAGUUCUAGACUACACAUAUGUACAAGAAUUAUUCAAAAAUCUCAUCACACAUGGCAUCGCACUCAUAGGGCAAAAAGAUAGUCUCCCAACCAAUUUGAGCAAUUUGAGCUUCAUAAGUUACUCCAAGUCAAAGACUCAUCAUUGUAAAGAGAGAAUCGAAAAUUGAGUUUAAUGGUCUCCUUCAAAAGAAAGCUCAUGAACAUCCUUGAUCUUUUUUCAAAAAGAAAACUAUAUUUUGGGUUUUUUCUCAAAAUCAUUCCAUUUCUUGCCAAUGAUAUUUUGAAAGUAUUUUCGAACUUUUGCUUCUUCCUAGUUAACCAUAAUGACUAGAUACUUCACCUAAGGAUGUCGCCUCGUCAUCCCUCAUGGGUGAAUUAUCACUCGGUUCGACAAAGAAACUAAACUAAAAUAAAAAUAAAAGAUCAAAAGAAAGAAAAUGAAAUUUUGCUCCUUAGGAAAGAAUCGAGUUUUGAAGAAAAUCCUUGGAGUUUAUUAGACACGUAUAUACAAAAGGUGACAAGAGCAAUGCGCACAAUCGGAUACCACAUUUAUAUUAAGCGCAUGACACAAAUUCAACAACAAAAAGACAAUAUUUGACAUCAUUAUCAAAAUGCCCGACAAGGGCCCAUCCAAAGCAAUGCCAAUAAUAAUAAAAAACAAUAUAAGCCCCACAAGGGCUAAAGUAAAUAAACAUGACAAAAUGUAACGUGUACACACAAACAACAAAGUGAUAACAUAGAGUAUGUCCAUAUAAUCUGUCUAACCAAAUGCCAUAAAGUGAAAUAGUAGGUACCGACCAUCAAAUGAAUCAUAAAAAUGCCCCCCCCUAAAGACAUUGCAUUGGGGAGUAAAAGAGAGUAGAGGAGGGUAAAGAUUCCCUGUGGCGCGCUAGGCACUCGGAUCUGGCGGUGAAGGAUCGUACUGUCUCAAUAGGAACCUCGUCAAACUGGGCUCCUCUCAUCGAGUCUACUGUGAAGGGUGACUCAUCAUUACGUCGAGUGCUAGAACUAGCCCCAACCAUCCGUGCAUGCUCAUCAUCCCUAGAUAAUUGCAAGGUGAGCUCAACUUGUCGGGCCUCAGGUAGCCCCUCUAUAAGAUCUACCUUGGCUUCAUCAUCAGUGUCUUCAUGACCCUCUCCGAACAAAUCAUCAAAUGGAAGCAUUAUCUAUGUUAUGUCAUCUGCUUCUGUGCUGUACUAUGUGUUUGUUUGAUAUCUCGUAACUUGAGCCGGGGGUCUUUCGGAAACAGCCUUUCUACUUCAUCAGAGGUAGAGGUAUGGACUGCGUACAUCUUACCCCCCCCAGACCCCACAAAGUGGGAAUACACUGGGUUUGUUGUUGUUGUUGUUGUUGGAAGCAUUGGGCCAGAAGCCUCCGGAGGAAAAACAAUCUCCGUCUCAUCAAGACCGAAGGAGGGCUGUCCGGAGUGAAACUCUGCCCGUAAACUAUCAAGAUCUGCCCUCACAGAUGUCACCCCCUUACAAUCUCCUCUCGCCUCAAGCAUGGCCACUCUCUGCUCUAACUUUGCUAUGCGGGCACGUAGAGAUUCUAUAGCAACUUGAAUAAAUUGAGGAAUGUCCGCCACCAAUCGGGUAAGAGUAGCAUUUUUUGCCAAAGUCAUGGAAGCAACCUUGGCAAACGUCAUUGUAGAAGACCAUGCCGAUUGUGUGGGCCGAGGUGGUGGUGCGGUGCUUGAUGAUGGAGGAGUAUCGGUAGAAUCAUGAUGAGUCUCAGCAUCAAGUGUAGAAUUCGGAGGGAUCUCCAUUCCCUCGGCAACCCUUUCGCACCCGAGUCUACCAAAACCAAAGCUUUUCUCUUUAUGCUCGUAGGGUUAUCCUUAUCCUUGCAAUGUGUGAUGUCAAUGACUCCGGUGCAUAUAACCCGUCUAUCAAUCUUAGAGAGUAGCGGUUCUUUGAACUCAAGGCAAAGCAUAGAUAUGAGUGUCGGAAAGGGCAAUAAAGUGCCCGGUUGCUUUGACCUUAACUUCAUCAUCUCCCUGGACAAUUCUCCUGGAUUGAUAGCGAUUUUAUCAAUGAUACAUCUGACAAUGAUAGCCCUAUCUAUCGUGACAUCUUGGUCAUUUCUUGAGGGGAGUAGACGGUUACCAACAAAUCCAAGCCAAUGUUUGGCUUGAACCGAAAGAUCUCUCCUCUUGAUCGGAAGGUCAACUUUCACCAAAACAUCAUACAACACACAAACGAACUUUUUGAUUGAACGAUCGGCCAUUAGAAGCCUCAUAGUGGUAGGCUUAGGAGCACCCAAGCCUAAUUUUCGAAACACGACAAAUACAACAACAACAACAUACUCGGUGUAUUCCCACAUAGUAGGGUCUGGGGAGGGUACAGUGUACGCAGACCAUACCAGUACCUCAGAUGAAGUAGAGAGGCUGUUUUUGAUAGACCCACGGCUUAGGACCUAUAGCAGUAUAACAAACACAAAUCAUAAAUGCAUAUAAACUCGUACUGUCUGCAAAAUAAUACUACAACCUCAAGAUAAUACUAAAACUCAUGCACAAGAAACUUCAGAUACAAAUAAAGAACGCUCUUCUAUUGUUACCGACACUCUCUCCCCCUAUCCCUCUACCCUAAUCCGUGCUCUCCACACCUUCCUAUCAAGGGUCAUGUCUUUCGUAAGCUGUAACUGCUCCAUAUCAUGCCUAAUCAUCUCUCUCCAAUAUUUCUUCGGCCUACCCCUACCCCGCCUAAAACCAUCUAUAGCCAGUGUCUCACCUCCGCAUUGGAGCUUCAGAGCCCCUUCUCAUCACAUGCCCGAACCAACGUAACCUUACUUCUCGCAUCUUGUCCUCCAUCGAGGCCACUCCCACCUUCUCCCGAAUAAUCUCAUUCCUCACCCUAUUUUUCCUGGUAUGGCCACACAUCCAUCGCAACAUCGUCAUCUCCGCCACGUUCAACUUUUGGAUAUGGGAGUUCUUAACUGACCAAUACUCCGCUCCGUACAACAUAGCCAGCCGGACUACUAUUCUGUAGAACUUCCCUUUAAGCUUCUGGGGCACCUUCUUAUCACAUAAAACUCCCAAAGCGAGCCUCCAUUUUAACCACCCGGCCCCCGAUGCGUGUCAUCCUCGUUAAUUUCACCAUUGCCCUGAAUCAUAGACCCCAGAUACUUGAAACUCCCCUUCUUCUGAAUGACUUGAGAGUCCACUCCAUAACUACGCCAGCCUCCUGCGACACAUCACUAAACUUACACUCUAAGUACUCCAUCUUGGUCUUACUUAGCCGAAAUCCUUUAGGCUCAAGGGUCUGUCUCCAAAUCUCUAACUUGUCAUUAACUCCUCCCCGAGUCUCGUCGAGCAGUACCACAUCAUCAGCAAAUAACAUACACCAAGGCACCUCCCCUUGAAUAUGUCGUGUCAAAACAUUCAUCACCAAGGAAAAUAAAAAAGGGCUAAGAGUCUAUCCUUGAUGCAACCCUAUCAAAAUAAGAAAGUGCUCCGAAUCUCCACCCACCAUCCUCACCCGAGUCUUCUCGCCAUCAUACAUGUCCUCUUAAUCAACCUAGUGUACGCCACAGGCACCCCUCUAGCCUCCAAGCACCUCCACAGAAUCUCCCCGGGAACUCUGUCAUAAGCUUUCUCAAGAUCAAUAAACACCAUGUGCAAGUCCUUCUUCCUUUCCCGAAACUGCUCCACUAAUCUCCUCACAAGGUGAAUGGCCUCAGUAGUCGAACGACCUGGCAUGAAACCGAACUAAUUCGAAACACGACAAAUGGCAUCAAUUAAUACUUGCCCCAAGAUCACACAACCCUUUUCCAAAUUUGUACAUGCCGAUAGUGCAAGGAAUAGUAAAUGCACUCGGGUCUUCUUUCUUCACCACCAUUGUGCUAGACAUUAUAGCACUACAAUUGUGGGUUACCUCAAUUGUUUUAAAAUCCAUGACUCGCUUCUUUGUAACCAAGUCCUUCAUAAAUUUAGCAUACCUGGGCAUUUCUUGUAAGGCUUUUAGCAAAGGAAUAUUCACCGAUAAAUUGCUAAAUUUUGCUAAAUUUCACAAGAAACUUCUUGAACUUGGUAUCAUCAUCCUUAUUCUUGAGCCUUUGUGGGAAUGGGGGAGGAAUUUUGAUUUGUGAUAAUGGAACAAUUGGAGUUUCAUCCGCUUUGGAGUAUCAUCAUCAACCACCUUAGAAGCUUUCUUACUUUUAAUAUUUUCUUCAACUACCUUCGGCCGUUCAACACUUGUCUCAUUAGGCUUUGGAUCAUCAUCAUUUGGCUCUUCUAUCCGCUUCUCUUUACAUUGGCUUGUUCUUCAUUUCCCUUUUCAUUGGUGUCUUCACCAAGAUCAACAUCUUUACUAUGAGUCUGACCACUCCUAGUGACAAUAGCCAUGAUGUGAGCAUCAUUCUUAGGAUUGACAAUCGUGUCACUAGACAAUCCACCCUUUGGUCUUGCAUUAAGUUGUGCCGAGAUUUGGUCCAAUAGAGUUUCAAGUUGCUUGAUAGAGGCCGAGUGAGAUGUCACCAUUUGAUUGAGUUGUGAGAAGUCACCUUUCAUCUCUCUCACCAUCUUGUCGGUCCCCUCAACACCCAUUAAAAUCUGAGCAAGGACAUCUUCAUUUUUUAGCUUAUCCGGGUCAAUGGAACUUGACACUUUACCCUUUGCUCGAUCAUGUGGAGGCACGUACCGGUCAUAAUCUCUCUCCUCAUCUCUCCAAUCCCAAUCUCUAUCACGAUCUCUUUCCUUCCAACCUUGAUUCCCGCCUUGCCUUUGAUAGGUAGGGUGAAAACCCCCCGCUUGGUUUGACAAGAACCGAAUCUCUUCAUCAAGGGCCUCCGUUUCCUCAUAUCAUAAGCUCUAGCACUCUUAGAAGCAACGACAUUGACCGCCUUAGGAGGAGCUCCCAUCACAUGCUUGGUGAGAAGAUCAAGUUGUGUCAUCUCUUUGGCCAUAUUUGCAUCUCUUUCUUCAUCCUUUUUCUUUUGCUCUUAGCUUAUAAAAGGUGCGGAGGGAGCCCCCACGGCCACCUCGGUAUCUCUUGUGUGCCACCCUCUACUUUGCUUGGUCACUUGAUCUAACAAAAUCGACGCAACACCAUAUGAUAGUUUGACAAGAGAACCCCUCGGCCGCAUUAUCGACUACCAUCUUAUUCAAUUGAUCCAAUGCCCUGUAGAAAAUUUGAAGAAACAUUUUAUCCGGAACCUCAUGAUUUGGGCAUUGUAUUAACUUGUUAUUGAAUUGUUGCCAAGCCUUAUAUAACGGUUGGCCAUUAAGUUGGCGAAAGUUGGUGAUUUCAUCCCUUAGUUGCAACAUUCGAGAAGGGGAAAAAUAUCUUUCCAAAAAUGCCUCUGUGAGCUCACUCCAUGAAGUGAUAGAUCCCGCGGACAAAGACCGCAACCAUAAGACCGCUUCUCCCGUCAAAGAGAAUGGGAAAUGACGUAACCGGAUUGACUCUUGACAUAUGUGGGCUAUGUCAAAUGGAGAACACACAUCAAUAAAAUUCUUCAAGUGUAGAUUAGCAUCCUCAUCUUGGCCUCCAAAUAACCCUUUCAUUUGAAGCUAAUGAAGCAUCACGCUAGUAAUGUGAAACACUCCAUUUCCUUCCGCCGGUGGAAUACAAAUAGCACUAGCUCGGCCCACAUCACCGAGGUGAUCCGCAUCCUCAAGAUACCCAUCAACCGUCCCGGCAUUACUAUCGUAUUGGCUCAUAGUAUCGUGUAUACUAUUAUACGCACCUGAGAAAGAAUGGAAACACCAAACAAUGUAAAAUAAAACAUUACGACUAACCUAAAGUAACUAAAAACACUACUAGAGUGAAAACUAUGUUUCACUCCCCGGCAACGACGCCAUUUUUGAUAGCGCUCAAAUUACACUCUUGAAUGGGUGUAAGAGAUCGUUGUCAAUACAAUAACCCAACUUAGGUUGGGGUCGAAUCCACAAGGAGUGAAAACAUGGAAUUCAAAACCCAAGAGUGUUGAUAGUUUACUAAAAGGUGCCCCGUAAUGUGAAUGAAACAAGCAUAAAUGUAAAAUGGGGAUAUUAGUUUGAAUGUGCUUAUAACGACAACUACUUCAAUUUUAGAGCACUAUCUUAACGUUGAAAAAUGCUAAAGUGAGUUCAAUUGGGAAUAGGCCUUGGGGUUAUGCAAUUUUAGGUGUGGGUUCAUGCAUGGGUACUUGACACUUUAUCCAACUUUAGCUAAAAGUCAUGGGUAGGCUAGAUGUCAAUGUAUUGAUGUCAAUCUUUAAAUUACGACACCAAAUUUCACAAAUGGAUUCUUUCGAACACCUCACAAGUGUGACAAGUUUGCACAUCUAUUUUCUUAAUUUGCAUCCUUAUGUCUAAGAGAUGUCAUUAAAUGAGAUGAUUCAAGUUAUUGGUUGCAUUUAUUCCUCACCCAUAUCCCCUCUUUCAAGGAUGAUAUGGGUUUAAGGGUGGUUGGGGUUUGCAACCCCCAACUCUUGAUUAAAUCAUGGAAUAAAUGCAACACCCAUCAUAAAUAACUAAUUAGGAGGAUAAAUAGCUAACACCCAUGUACUACCACAACCGAAGCAAGCAUAACCUCAAGAUUUAGAAUUAGCUACUCAUAGACAAAAAUGGUAGAAAUAUACCAAAGUUAUCAUUGACUUCAUCCAUGAGAAAUAAAUUGAUUUAUGUUCCAAACUUGGAAGUUCAAUAAAUCUUCAAUGGAAAAUCACUAAUUCUUCCUUGGGAAUCACUCACAUAUUUUUUUUACUCAAGAUUAGUACAAUGUUCUUCUAAGAUGAAAAGAUGAGUGCUAAGAUGAAAAGAUAGAAGCUAGGAUGGGAAAAAUAAGCUAAAACCCUCUUUUAAGCUCCAACUCUACAUUUGUUAAAAAUUACAAAAAUACCACCUUGAUCUUGAUAUGCUUGGGUGGUUCCAAAGCGGAUGGAGAGCAGAUGGAUAGCAACUCCAAAGCAGAUGCGAGGCGGAUGCGAAGCGGAUGACUCUUUUCCUUCACAUUUGGCCUCUUGUUGAUUUGAAUGACUUUCCAAUCUUCCCUUUUUAACUUUCACCUACAUAAAUGAGCAUUAAGUAAGAAUUACCAUCAAAUCAAUGGAAUAGCAUGAUAAAUUAGGCUUAAAAGGUGCUAGCAAGUCGUCAAAUUGACGAUUUAUCAUCUCUUUAUGGACUAAAGCAAGCACUCUGUUCUACAAGAAAAAUGGAUCACUGAUGGUGUUCCUAGCUGUGUAUGUUGAUGAUGUUAUCCUAGCAGGAACGAAUUUGGAAGGAAUGGUAUUGCUUAAGAGUUAUCUCCAUGAGACAUUCAAGAUCAAAGAUCUUGAACAUUUACACUAUUUCUUGGGCAUGGAGGUACUUGACACAGAAGGAGGUGGCAUUAUUCCUCAGAGGAAAUUUACCAUGGACCUGCUCAAAGAAUACAACUGUUUUGACUAUAGUUCCGUGUGUUCACCACUUGAUUCUACUAUCAAACUAAGAGCUAAAGAAGGGGAUCCUCUGCCAGAUCCUACAUACUACAGGAAGCUUAUAGGCAAGCUGAAUUUUCUCACCAAUACAAGGCUAGAUAUAGCAUUUAGUGUGCAGCAGUUAAGUCAGCAUAUGCAAGAUCCAAGAAUAC